UUAAAAUUCUUAAAAGAAGAUCCUGAAGCGAUAAAAAGUGCUCUCAUCACUGGAGACAAAUUGUCAUAACCAUGUACACCCAAAGGCUCAUACUCCAACUCCGGUGAAUGAUCCAGCAUCGAGACAAGAGACCAUCCAACAUCCGGGAUCAUCCAAACGGGAGCUAUUCUUUCAUUAUUUGAGUAAUGCCAUCGAGAAGGUAUAUCUUUCUUUGAAUAAACAUUCCAAUUCUCAGCAGAAGGUAAUGACGAGCGAGAAUAAUUAACAAGACUUUCGUAAAUGUACUCAUCAUCUAAAUCAGAUUCUCCUCUAAAACCUCCUAACGGCCAAGCAUCUCUGUGUGCAACGGCAGACAAAUUAAACAUAUUAUCCAGCCAGAUAAGACGAUUAUCGGAUGUAGGCGCCAUUCCAUGAUCACUUAAAAAAAUAAUG